rnacentral:rRNA from 1 species
GGGCGUAAAACGCGCGGCACGUGGUUCUUUAAGUGUGAUGUUGAAACCCCCCGGGUCUACCCGUGGGGAGUCCAUUGUAAACUGGGGGAGCUUGAGUUCAGAAAAAGAAAGUGAAUUUCACGUGUUACGGUGUAAAAGUGUAGAUAUGUGGAGGAACACCAGUGGCGAAGGGGACUUUCUGGUCUGUAACUCACACUGAGGCGCGAAAACGUGGGGAGCAAACACGAUUAGAUAUCCUCGUAGUGCACCCCGUAAAAGAUGAGUGCUAAGUGUUGUGGGGUUUUCGCCCCUUAGUGCUGCAGCUAACGCAUUAAGCACUCCGCCUGGGGAGUACGGCCGCAAGGUUGAAACUCAAAGGAAUUGACGGGGGCCCGCCCAAGCGGUGGAGCAUGUGGUUUAAUUUGAAGCAACGCGAAGAACCUUACCAGGUCUUGACAUCCUGGGAAAUUCCCAGAGAUAGGUUUUUUCCCUUCGGGGACCAGAGUCACAGGUGGUCCAGGGUUUUUUUCAGCUCGUUUCGGGAGAUUUGGGUUAAAGUCCCCCAACGAGCCCACCCCUUGAUUUUAUUUCCCAGCAUUCAGUUGGGCACUCUAAGGUGACUGCCGGUGACAAACCGGAGGAAGGUGGGGAUGACGUCAAAUCAUCAUGCCCCUUAUGACUUGGGCUACACACGUGCUACAAUGGCGGGUACAAAGGGCAGCGAGCCCGCGAGGGUAAGCCAAUCCCAUAAAGCCGUUCUCAGUUCGGAUUGGAGUCUGCAACUCGCCUCCAUGAAGUCGGAAUCGCUAGUAAUCGCGGAUCAGCAUGCCGCGGUGAAUACGUUCCCGGGCCUUGUACACACCGCCCGUCACACCACGGGAGUUGGUACCACCAGAAGUCGGUGGGGUAACNUCGGAGGCAG